rnacentral:rRNA from 1 species
UGGACAGGUGGUGGCAUGGUUGUCGUCAGCUCGUGUCGUGAGAUGUGGUUAAGUCCCGCAACGAGCGCAACCCUCGACCUUAGUUGCCAGCAUUCAGUUGGGCACUCUAAGGUGACUGCCGGCUAAAAGUCGGAGGAAGGUGGGGGAUGACGUCAAAUCAUCAUGCCCCUUAUGACCUGGGCUACACACGUGCUACAAUGGGCGGUACAAAGGGCCGCGAACCCGCGAGGGGGAGCCAAUCCCAAAAAGCCGCUCUCAGUUCGGAUUGCAGGCUGCAACUCGCCUGCAUGAAGCCGGAAUCGCUAGUAAUCGCGGAUCAGCAUGCCGCGGUGAAUACGUUCCCGGGCCUU